rnacentral:lncRNA from 1 species
CAUUUUGGGAGCCAUUUGGACAAAAGAGACUUGCAAGGAGCUUAGGAGACUAAAUGAGAGGUAGAGAGGAAAAGAUUUUAGAAGAAAAGACAAAAAAUUUGGGGAGAUAAAUCAUCGAUUUGGAAAAGAGGGGUAGAAUCUAAGGCAAGCUCGAACAAUCCAAAUGAGGAAGAAAGAGGAGAAGAAGUUGGUUCCUUAAUGGGCGAUUUGAAGGGUGAA